rnacentral:rRNA from 1 species
UACGGAGGAUGCGAGCGUUAUCCGGAUUUAUUGGGUUUAAAGGGUGCGUAGGCGGAUUUUUAAGUCAGCGGUAAAAUGUCCGGGCUCAACCCGGGCCGGCCGUUGAAACUGGGGAUCUUGAGUGGGCGAGAAGUAUGCGGAAUGCGUGGUGUAGCGGUGAAAUGCAUAGAUAUCACGCAGAACUCCGAUUGCGAAGGCAGCAUACGGGCGCCCGACUGACGCUGAGGCACGAAAGCGUGGGGAUCGAACAGG